rnacentral:rRNA from 1 species
AUUGAACGCUGGCGGCAGGCCUAACACAUGCAAGUCGAGCGGAAACGAUCCUAGCUUGCUAGGAGGCGUCGAGCGGCGGACGGGUGAGUAACGCGUGAGAAUCUACCCAUGAUGGGGGACAACCCGGGGAAACUCGGGGCUAAUACCGCAUACGCCCUACGGGGUAAAGCAGGGGACCUUCGGGGCCUUGCGCUGAUGGAUGAGCUCGCGUCGGAUUAGCUUGUUGGUGAGGUAAAGGCUCACCAAGGCGACGAUCCGUAGCUGGUCUGAGAGGAUGAUCAGCCACACCGGGACUGAGACACGGCCCGGACUCCUACGGGAGGCAGCAGUGGGGAAUCUUGGACAAUGGGGGGCAACCCUGAUCCAGCCAUGCCGCGUGUGUGAAGAAGGCCUUCGGGUUGUAAAGCACUUUCAGCAGGGAGGAAGGCUUACCCCUAAUACGGGUGAGUACUUGACGUUACCUGCAGAAGAAGCACCGGCUAAUUUCGUG